rnacentral:rRNA from 1 species
CAGCCGCCGCGGUAAUACCGGCCCCGCGAGUGGUCGGGGUGAUUAUUGGGCCUAAAGCGCCCGUAGCCGGCCCGGCAAGUCCCUCCUUAAAGCCUCGGGCCCAACCCGAGGACGGGGGGGAUACUGCCGGGCUAGGGGGCGGGAGAGGCCGGCGGUACUCCCGGGGUAGGGGCGAAAUCCGUUAAUCCCGGGAGGACCACCAGUGGCGAAGGCGGCCGGCAGGAACGCGCCCGACGGUGAGGGGCGAAAGCCGGGGGAGCGAACCGGAUUAGAUACCCGGGUAGUCCCGGCGGUAAACGAUGCGGGCUAGCUGUUGGGCGGGCUUAGAGCCCGCCCAGUGGCGCAGGGAAGCCGUUAAGUCCGCCGCCUGGGGAGUACGGCCGCAAGGCUGAAACUUAAAGGAAUUGGCGGG